AUGGUGUGUAACUCAGGUGGUAGAGUGAUAGGCUUUUAACCUAUAAGUAGUUGGUUCAAACCCAAUCACACCAA
rnacentral:tRNA from 1 species